UUGAAAACAAUUCUGUUGUGUUUCCGGUUUAGUCGGACUCAGAAGAACUGCCUCGUCCAGCUUUCGCCAGGAGUUUUACUCUCUAAUGUAAUUAAUCUGUAGGUGUUUUACACCGAAUUGAUUCGUUAAUUAGCCGUGCCUUUGAAGAUAUGCCCAGCAGCUCUGGGUUAGGCUUCAUUUCUCAGGUUUAUCUGUCUUGUGUCAGUCAUGGACCCUCUGAAGCAGCUUCGGGAGUCUGUGGAUCUGUCCGUGGGCUGCAGGCCGAGUCCUUUAGAGACACACUCCCUGGAGGGGCUGGAUCUGGGGAAGAAACCCGGCUGGUGUGGCAUUAUCUCACGGAGCAAGAGCCUUAGCAUGUCCGAGUCUCCAUACAUCAGCAAACCCAAUUCACCUGAUCGCCCCGAACCAGGAUCCAGGCAUCAUGGGACAAGGACUGGAGGCACGUCAUCCCACGGGUCCUACUCUGUAGCGCUCCCCCCAAUCAACGGCUUGCCAUCGGUGGCUCACCACAGACCGACGGAUGACAGCGACUACCAUAUGGAAACGGACGAUGUGUUAACCCAAACUAAAAAUCGUCUCAAGAAAGCAGAUUGUGUGCUGGGCGACAGGACGCAUGCAGAAGACAUUUUGACCAGUUGUGGUGAAUCCUAUUUGAGUGACACGCUGUCGAAGGACUCCUCGUGUUUACCUCAGGACUACAGCGCGGCUGCGUACACACUACGAUCCUCCAGCUCCGCGUCCAUCGAGACGCUCUCAUCCGAAUGUACCGGCGCUAAAAAAACCUCUCCGCGCUCCGUCGAAUACAUCUCCAGCGCAGAUGACAGCGACGUCAUCGAGGUGCCAGUCAGCAGCUCCAGAUGCAAGACGCCUCCGAGCUGCUGCUUCCGAACACACAGCGUUAUCGUUCAUGAGAGAAGACGAGGAAACUCCUCCGUGAAGCGGGACGCUGCAAUGGACCGCCCUCCCGAACAUGUGAACGAUGUCUGUGCCCUGGAUGAAGCCGGUUUGGAAGCCCGUGAUGGUAAAGCUGGCUCUGAAUCCAAGUCGUUGCUGUCAUGGAUGGAGUCUCCCGUAUCUCCAGAAGACAGCGAUCAAGACACGGAUGCUGCUUCUCCCAGAAACUUCCCAUCUACCUCGGAUGCAGAAAACACAAGGGUCUUCAAGUCUCCACAGAGCAGGGCUUCAUCUUCAGCGUCAAACCGUCAACGGAAAACUCCGGCCUCGAAGAAUAGGAAACGGGCGAAACCCAGACCCAAGAGAGCGCCACCUGUUGGCAAAUCAGCAAAGAGACCACGGCGAAAACCUCGCUGCUCUGGACCUUCACCCAUGUUUUCUGCUCAAGAGCCGGAGAUCAAACUCAAAUAUGCAAAGCACAAAGAAGAGAAGAGGGACAGCAGGCCGGACGGCUUCGCCCCGUACGUGCACAUGGAGCUCUCGUCCUGCACGAUCGUCAGUUUCAGGGAAGACGACGUUUAUUCGAUGAAGAAAGGGUCACAGCAGGCGGUCCCGGGGGUCGUCCCGAAGACGUCCUGUCUGCAGCUGGGCCGUGUUGGCUCCGACGCCAGGUCACAGGUCAGGCGUUUCUGCUGUCUGUGUGGAAGAGUGGGCAGUGUUGAAGGCCUGGGGGACUUGCAUGGACCGUACUGUGAUUUGGACAGUUUGGAGGACGGUGCGUCCCGCUCCUUCAGACGGCAGAGGAAGGAGAACUGCUCGGGGAGCGUGGAGUGUAGUGAGCACUGGGUACAUGAGGACUGUAGCAUCUGGACUGCAGGCGUCUUUCUGGUUAAAGGGAAACUCUACGGACUGGAGGAAGCCAUCCGGCUCGCACAAGGAACAGUGUGUUCGUACUGUCACAUGGUUGGUGCCACUUUGGGAUGUUUCUUCAAAGAUUGCCCCCAUAAGUACCACUUCCCCUGUGCCCUGCAGUCAGACGGUGCGCUCAACGAGGAGAACUUCACCAUGAGAUGCCCGAAGCACAAGGUGACUCAGAGAGAUGGAUUUAGCUGGAGCUCCUCCGAAACGAUGAGUUUAUGUUCUGAGAAGGACACGAGUUUGCAGUAUAAUAGAGUUUCUCAGCGUUAUUGUCUUCCUCUUGCAUCAUCUCCACUGCUGAUAAUGAUCACUCGUGUUUCAGAAUAAAACAUCCAGAGCGAGCGUUAGCAGGCUGAAGAACAGAUGACAUCUGGGAGGUGCUGAAAUGUCUUUGAAGGUAGACGUUGACAGACGUCGGCUCAUCUGGCGGUGGAGUGUCUCUGAUGUGUUUACAGCUCUCUCUGUUUGGUUCAGCGCUCCACGUGUUGAGUGUUACACGUCCUCUCGGGCGGUCUGCAGGUCUGUCUCUGGAGCAGGACUCUCAGACAGCGCUGGAGCGUUUCCACUGCGUUCCUCUGCGUUCUCAACACUCAACCACUGCAGAUCUCAAUUUCAUCUGGGUUUACUGAAGGACAAAUAUCUCCUUCUGCUUCAGGAUGAAUCCUGUAAAACCUUUUAAAGUGGCAGUGGGAUCAAUAAUGAGAGCCUCGCUUCAUUUGAAGUAACAGUACAAGUGUAUUGAGCAGAAGUCAUUAUUUGUGCACUUUAGCAUCUCUUUGUUCAUUAAAUAUGUAACACCAACUGUCCUUUCUAUAACAGCGAUGUCUUUUUAUUACAUAAAGCUGAAUGCUGAAUGAACUAGUCUCCUCCAGUGGUACUGUAUGCACUAUUACCUGAGCAUAUUUAUUUCUAUUUAUGUUUAAUGCAUAGGUGUAUAUUUAUUUGCCAAUGACCAGCCAGAGUGUGUUUUAGCACCCUGUAUACACGCAGUAGAGGCACAUUAUGAUUUGAUGUGGGUAACAGCUACAGGGGGCUUUAAAUAUGAGUCUGGUGUCAGUUUGAAUCUUGUGGCCUGGGAAUCAAGAAAUCACAGCGUCUGUAGGUUUCUGCAUUUCACCUGAUGCCUUGUGAUGUUUGGACUUCUGUUUCAAUAAAUGUUUUUAUUCUACAUUCCUGAGA